rnacentral:rRNA from 1 species
UACAGAGGUCUCAAGCGUUGUUCGGAUUCAUUGGGCGUAAAGGGUGCGUAGGCGGCGCGGUAAGUCGGAUGUGAAAUCUCGGAGCUUAACUUCGAAACUGCAUUCGAUACUGCCGUGCUUGAGGACUGGAGAGGAGACUGGAAUUUACGGUGUAGCGGUGAAAUGCGUAGAUAUCGUAAGGAAGACCAGUGGCGAAGGCGGGUCACUGGCCCGGUACUGACGCUGAGGUGCGAAAGCGUGGGGAGCAAACAGG